AGCAGCCGCGGUAAUUCCAGCUCCAAUAACGUAUAUUAAAGUUGUUGCAGUUAAAAAGCUCGUAGUUGAAUUUCGGGAUCAAUUUGCUGGUCGUGCCUCCGGUACGUACUGGUAUUUAUUGGUUUCUCCCUUCUGACUAACCAUGAUGUCAUUCAUUUGGUGUUGUGGGGAAUCAGGACUGUUACUUUAGAAAAAUUAGAGUGUUUAAAGCAGGCAUAAGCUUGAAUACAUUAGCAUGGAAUAAUGAAAUAGGACGUUUGAUCCUAUUUUGUUGGUUUCUAGGAUCGACGUAAUGAUUAAUAGGGAUAGUUGGGGGCAUUAGUAUUCAAUUGUCAGAGGUGAAAUUCUUGGAUUUAUUGAAGACUAACUACUGCGAAAGCAUUUGCCAAGGAUGUUUUCAUUAAUCAAGAACGAAAGUUAGGGGAUCGAAGACGAUCAGAUACCGUCGUAGUCUUAACCAUAAACUAUGCCGACUAGGGAUCGGGAUGAUGUUUAAUUUUUAAUGUACUCAUUCGGCGCC
rnacentral:rRNA from 1 species